UACAGAGGUCUCAAGCGUUGUUCGGAAUCACUGGGCGUAAAGGGCGCGUAGGCGGGCUGCCGCGUCCGGGGUGAAAUCCUCCGGCUCAACCGGGGAAGGGCCUCGGGUACGGGCGGCCUCGAGGGGGGUAGGGGCGUGCGGAACUGUGGGUGGAGCGGUGAAAUGCGUUGAUAUCCACAGGAACUCCGGUGGCGAAGGCGGCACGCUGGACCCUCCCUGACGCUGAGGCGCGAAAGCCAGGGGAGCGAACGGG
rnacentral:rRNA from 1 species